AGGUCGAUGAUGAGAACUUUAUAUUGUCCUGAAGAGAGGUAAUGACUUAAAAAUCAUGCUCAAAAGGAUUAUGCUGAGGCCC
ensembl:snoRNA SNORD115 Small nucleolar RNA SNORD115